rnacentral:rRNA from 1 species
CUCGAUCGAGAGAACUGUGGUUAAGGAACUCGGCAAAAUGCCCCCGUAACUUCGGGAGAAGGGGGACCAGUCCUGGUGACGACAUUUACUGUCUGAGCUGGGGUUGGUCGCAGAGACCAGAGAGAAGCGACUGUUUACUAAAAACACAGGUCCGUGCGAAGUCGUAAGACGAUGUAUACGGACUGACGCCUGCCCGGUGCUGGAAGGUUAAGAGGACCGGUCAGCCACUUCGGUGGCGAAGCUGAGAAUUUAAGCCCCAGUAAACGGCGGUGGUAACUAUAACCAUCCUAAGGUAGCGAAAUUCCUUGUCGGGUAAGUUCCGACCUGCACGAAUGGCGUAACGACUUCUCUGCUGUCUCAACCACAGACUCGGCGAAAUUGCAGUACGAGUAAAGAUGCUCGUUACGCGCGGCAGGACGAAAAGACCCCGGGACCUUCACUAUAGCUUGGUAUUGGUGUUCGGUUCGGUUUGUGUAGGAUAGGUGGGAGACUGUGAAACUCGCACGCCAGUGUGGGUGGAGUCAUUGUUGAAAUACCACUCUGACCGUAUUGGACAUCUAACCUCGGACCAUGAUCUGGUUCAGGGACAGUGCCUGGUGGGUAGUUUAACUGGGGCGGUUGCCUCCUAAAAAGUAACGGAGGCGCCCAAAGGUUCCCUCAGCCUGGUUGGCAAUCAGGUGUUGAGUGUAAGUGCACAAGGGAGCUUGACUGUGAGACGUACAUGUCGAGCAGGGACGAAAGUCGGGACUAGUGAUCCGGCACCGGCAAGUGGAAGCGGUGUCGCUCAACGGAUAAAAGGUACCCCGGGGAUAACAGGCUGAUCUUCCCCAAGAGUCCAUAUCGACGGGAUGGUUUGGCACCUCGAUGUCGGCUCGUCGCAUCCUGGGGCUGGGGUAGGUCCCAAGGGUUGGGCUGUUCGCCCAUUAAAGCGGCACGCGAGCUGGGUUUAGAACGUCGUGAGACAGUUCGGUCUCUAUCCGCCGCGCGCGUAAGAAACUUGAGGAAACCUGUCCCUAGUACGAGAGGACCGGGACGGACGAACCUCUGGUGUGCCAGUUGUUCCACCAGGAGCACCGCUGGUUAGCUACGUUCGGAAGGGAUAACCGCUGAAAGCAUCUAAGCGGGAAGCCUGUUCCAAGAUGAGGUUUCUCACCACCUAGCGUGGUUAAGGCCCCCCACAGACCAUGGGGUUGAUAGGCCAGAACUGUAAGCACAGCAAUGUGUUCAGGUGACUGGUACUAAUCGGCCGAGGACUUACAACA